GCCACCGUAGCUUAACUAAAGCAUAACACUGAAGAUGUUAAGAUAGACCCUAGAAAGUCUCGGGGGCA
rnacentral:tRNA from 1 species